AUUUGAUGGUGAGGGCAGCUGGCACAUAAUUUCUUAAAUCUUUCCCAAUAUUCAUGAAAUGUCUCCCCAGUCAUCUGACGAAUCCUACAAAUAUCUUUUUUUAUUGC